rnacentral:sRNA from 1 species
UAAUUUGCAAAGCGGACUGCAUCUGAUUUACAAGAAAACAAGUAAAAACUUUUAACAACGGAUCUCUUGGUUCUGGCAUCGAUGAAGAACGCAGCGAAAUGCGAUAAGUAAUGUGAAUUGCAGAAUUCAGUGAAUCAUCGAAUCUUUGAACGCACAUUGCGCCCGGCAGCAAUCUGCCGGGCAUGCCURUCCGAGCGUCAUUUCUUCCCUCGAGCGCGGUUAGACCCACGUGGCCUGCCGCCGCCCGGCGUUGGGGCUCUACGGGCGGCCGGGGUCUUUACGGCCCCGCCCCCGCAGUCCCUGAAAUGUAGUGGCGGUCCAGCCGCGGCGCCCCCUGCGUAGUAGUUUACAACCUCGCAUCGGGACCCGGCGAAGGCCAGCCGUCGAACCCAAAUCUUUUGAUGGUUUGACCUCGGAUCAGGUAGGGUUACCCGCUGAACUUAAGCAUAUCAAUAA